rnacentral:misc_RNA from 1 species
UCGUAACAAGGUUUCCGUAGGUGAACCUGCGGAAGGAUCAUUACCGAGUGAGGGCCCUCUGGGUCCAACCUCCCACCCGUGUUUAUUUUACCUUGUUGCUUCGGCGGGCCCGCCUUUACUGGCCGCCGGGGGGCUCACGCCCCCGGGCCCGCGCCCGCCGAAGACACCCUCGAACUCUGUCUGAAGAUUGAAGUCUGAGUGAAAAUAUAAAUUAUUUAAAACUUUCAACAACGGAUCUCUUGGUUCCGGCAUCGAUGAAGAACGCAGCGAAAUGCGAUACGUAAUGUGAAUUGCAAAUUCAGUGAAUCAUCGAGUCUUUGAACGCACAUUGCGCCCCCUGGUAUUCCGGGGGGCAUGCCUGUCCGAGCGUCAUUGCUGCCCUCAAGCCCGGCUUGUGUGUUGGGCCCCGUCCUCCGAUUCCGGGGGACGGGCCCGAAAGGCAGCGGCGGCACCGCGUCCGGUCCUCGAGCGUAUGGGGCUUUGUCACCCGCUCUGUAGGCCCGGCCGGCGCUUGCCGAUCAACCCAAAUUUUUUAUCCAGGUUGACCUCGGAUCAGGUAGGGAUACCCGCUGAACUUAAGCAUAUCAAUAA